AUAUUGAUCUAUUUUGUAGCAUCCAAAGGAAAAUCUUAGAUAGAGGAACCAAGGCUGUCUUAAAAUAUUUGAAGGACAAAAUUACAGAUCUCUAGUUUAGUUGCAAUUCUAUCCGGACAUCUCUCACUUUUUUAUUUGCCAGAAUUCUUAAUUUGAAGACCACGUGGUUCUUUACAUGGUUGGAGUGAGCGUGACAUUUGUGACCUUAAAAAUUAAUUUAUGAUUGUUUUUGUCAUUUUAAAUAUCCCAAUGUUUGACCAUGGGAUUGUAUUUGCUGUUACUGAUAAUAAUUUAUUUUCUCCACGUAAGCUAUGCCUAUGUGUUUGUAAAAUAUUAUGUGAUUGGUUGUGUAUUCUAUUCUCGUUGUUGUUAUUGCAAAUUCGCUUGUUUGCAAAUUGUACAUGCUUUGAAAUUACAGACAUUGUUUCAUUUUAUGCUCGUAUACAGAUUACACAGUAAUGCCAUCUUAAAUUUUCUUUCUUUUUCCUCAGUCUUACCACAAGAACAAUGGGAAUGUUGUAAAUUUUCCAGUAAAACGCUUAUAUAUAUUAUGGGCGGACAAUAUACCUUAUAUAUCUCACAUGAGGAUAUAGUACACUUUGGACUUGUGGAAGAAAUCGACGCGUCUUGCAUUUCAUUCUAUAUCAGUAUAAUAUAUUCUGAGUUGUCCGAUAGAGAGAUAUCACACUUUUUUGGUUUCAUUGAGCCAUUGUGGUCAUCGAGAAUUAGGGCAAAUAUGGAUAAUCGGGCUGAAAUUAUCUCAGAGUGUAUCAAUAACACAGUGAUGGGUCAACCUUGAUUAAGGACAUACCAUUUCUUACGUCACUGGAUGUUAGUGUUCAUUGAUCUAGAUGACCAUACUUGUUACUAUCUUGAUUCACUUAGAAAAUGUCCUCCAAAUGAUUUGAAGAACCUUAUGAACAGUGUCUCUUCACACAUUAAGUGAAAGACAGGAAGGAAUAAAAAAAAAUUACAAGUGGAAAAUAGUCAAUUGCCCUCGUCAAACAUCGUCAGUAGAGUGCGGUUUUUAUAUCAUAAGGAUGAUGAAGGACUAUUGCUUAAAUGAGACACCCAUGCGAUGGCUAACUAGUAAUUGUGGUGAGAAGAAUACAUAUACACUUGGUGAAAUUAAUGAAACUCGAAAUGAAUGGGUAGCCAAGCUUCUUGAGCGGAUGAGUCAUAGCUAGAGUAACUUUUGAAAUCAAAAUUAAAAAAUAUAUUAAUUUUUGUUUUUAGUUAGCACUUACAUAGUUAUUGCAAGUGUAUAUUUUGAUCUUGUAAUUUUUAGAUUUGGAACAUACUGAGUUCUAUUGAUUUUUUC